CCCUCACCGCGGCCUGCAGCCGCGCUCACCGCCGCAGUCCGCCCCGGCGCCCCGGGACCCGUUAGUGCCCAGCCUGUGGGCCGACCGCGACCCCCGCCCGGCGCGAGCCUGCCCCCAGCUCUGCCGACACUUGACCCAGACCAGUCCCAACGCCCAGUGCGGCCGCCUGGGGAGCCGCGGGAGAGGCGGCGGCGGGGGGAGGAGGGAGAGGAGGGCCGAGCCGGCGGCCCGGGAGGCCCGGUUUUGAAGCCGCUUCUCUGGCCGAGUUAGGUUUCGCCCAGCGCAAUUUCUUUCUCUAUGUACUUUGCGAAUAAGUUUCGGAGCAUCGGUUAACAGCCUAUGGGUGAAAUUUGGCUUUCAUUCAUGAAUGAGCUUCAGUUGUGGAGGGCCAAAAGGGUAUCAUUCUUCGAGCUAUUCAAGAAAUAUUUCAAAGCAUCUCUGAACAUCCUAGCAUUGACUUUAAUGUGAAAGUAUCUUAUAUAGAAGUGUACAAGGAAGACCUAAGAGAUCUUCUAGAAUUGGAGACAUCCAUGAAAGAUCUUCACAUCCGAAAAGAUGAAAAAGGAAACACAGUGUGUGCUUGCUGCUGAUGAAGUAGUAUUUAAUCAGAAGGAACUGGAGGUUAAGGAACUGAAGAAUCAAGUGCAGAUGAUGGUACAGGAAAACAAAGGGCAUGCUGUAUCUUUGAAAGAAGCGCAAAAAGUGAAUAGACUGCAGAAUGAAAAAAUAAUAGAACAACAACUUCUUGUGGAUCAACUGAGUGAAGAACUAACAAAACUUAACCUGUCAGUGACUUCUUCAGCUAAAGAAAAUUGUGGAGACGGGCCAGAUGCCAGGAUCCCUGAAAAGAGACCAUAUACUGUACCAUUUGAUACUCAUUUGGGGCAUUAUAUUUAUAUCCCAUCAAGACAAGAUUCCAGGAGGGGGAAUCACUUGCAAGGUCCACACAAGUCCGCCUAUGUACUCUCUGGAUCGAAUAUUUGCUGGAUUUCGAACACAAAGUCAGAUGCUGUUGGAUCACGUAGAAGAACGAGAUGAGGUCCUCCACUGCCAAUUUUCUGAUAACAGUGAUGAUGAAGAAUCAGAAGGCCAAGAGAAAUCUGGAACUAGAUGUAGAAGUCGUUCAUGGAUUCAGAAGCCAGACUCUGUUCCCUUGUUGAAUUGAGUGAUACUCAGGAUGAAACACAAAAGUCAGAUUCGGAGAAUGAAGAUUUAAAGAUUGAUUGUCUCCAGGAGAGUCAAGAAUUGAAUUUGCAAAAAUUAAAGAAUUCAGAACGCAUACUUACUGAAGCCAAACAAAAAAUGAGAGAACUUACAGUUAACAUCAAGAUGAAGGAAGAUCUGAUUAAAGAAUUAAUAAAAACAGGUAACGAUGCCAAGUCUGUAAGCAAGCAGUAUACUUUGAAAGUAACAAAGCUAGAGCAUGAUGCAGAACAGGCAAAAGUCGAACUAACUGAAACACAAAAGCAGCUACAGGAGCUGGAAAACAAAGAUCUUUCUGAUGUUGCAAUGAAGGUAAAAUUACAGAAAGAGUUUCGUAAAAAGGUGGAUGCUGCAAAGCUGAGAGUUCAGGUCUUACAGAAGAAGCAACAAGAUAGUAAGAAACUGGCAUCACUGUCAAUCCAAAAUGAGAAACGUGCUAAUGAACUAGAGCAGAGUGUAGAUCACAUGAAAUAUCAAAAGAUACAGCUACAAAGAAAACUACAAGAAGAAAAUGAAAAAAGGAAGCAACUGGAUGCAGUAAUUAAGCGGGACCAGCAAAAAAUCAAAGUAAUAUUGUCAUACAUUCCUGCUAAGUAUAAUAUGAAAUGUUAAACGGCUCAGAGCUAACGAAUCCAUGGUCUUCAUUCAGUUGGCUUGUGAAGUAUCUAUCCUUGACUUGCCCUUCACUGCUGUCCUUAUUCACUUUAAAGCUUUGUUCAUCUACAUAGUAAAACCUAUUUAUUGAAUUUUGA
rnacentral:lncRNA from 1 species